rnacentral:rRNA from 1 species
GAUGAACGCUGGCGGCGUGCUUAACACAUGCAAGUCGAACGGAAAGGCUCCUGCUUGCAGGGGUACUCGAGUGGCGAACGGGUGAGUAACACGUGGGUGAUCUGCCCUGCACUUCGGGAUAAGCCUGGGAAACUGGGUCUAAUACCGGAUAGGACGAUGGUUUGGAUGCCAUUGUGGAAAGUUUUUUCGGUGUGGGAUGAGCUCGCGGCCUAUCAGCUUGUUGGUGGGGUAAUGGCCUACCAAGGCGUCGACGGGUAGCCGGCCUGAGAGGGUGUACGGCCACAUUGGGACUGAGAUACGGCCCAGACUCCUACGGGAGGCAGCAGUGGGGAAUAUUGCACAAUGGGCGCAAGCCUGAUGCAGCGACGCCGCGUGGGGGAUGACGGCCUUCGGGUUGUAAACUGCUUUCGCUAGGGACGAAGCGCAAGCGACGGUACCUGGAGAAGAAGCACCGGCUAACUACGUG